rnacentral:lncRNA from 1 species
CUGCAGAUGCCCCUCGCUGGAGCCAAUUUGUAUUAGCUGCCAUAACUUCGGGCUGCCACAUAAGGUUAGAUGCCUCAUUGAUGGGAAUGCCACUAAUAAGAGAUGCAAAAUGGCUUGCAACUGUCUGUUUUGAAAUGGAGGAAGCUGGAGUCAUGGAAUGUUGCCUCGCUUCUAGUUGAUGAAAUUGUUGCUGCCUUUGAAGUUCUUGCAUCUGGUUGAGCAUUGCGUGUUGUUGUAAAAG